AUUGAACGCUGGCGGCAGGCCUAACACAUGCAAGUCGAACGCAGUGGGGACGGGUGAGUAACACGUGGGUAACCUCCCAUCAGAGGGGAGAACCCUAGGAAACAGGUGCUAAACCGAUACUGAUGGAUGGACCCGCGGUGCAUUAGCUAGUUGGUGAGGUAACGGCUCACCAAGGCCACGAUGCAUAGACGGCCUGAGAGGGUGAUCGGCCACACGGGGACUGAGACACGGCCCAGACUCCUACGGGAGGCAGCAGUGGGGAAUAUUGCACAAUGGGCGCAAGCCUGAUGCAGCCAUGCCGCGUGUAUGAAGAAGGCCUUCGGGUUGUAAAGUACUUUCAGCGGGGAGGCGUUACCCGCAGAAGAAGCACCGGCUAACUCCGUGCCAGCAGCCGCGGUAAUAC
rnacentral:rRNA from 1 species